rnacentral:rRNA from 2 species
GUCUGCGAUCUUUAGGGGGCCUGAGAGGGUGAUCCCCCACACUGGUACUGAGACACGGACCAGACUCCUACGGGAGGCAGCAGUGAGGAAUAUUGGACAAUGGGUGAGAGCCUGAUCCAGCCAUCCCGCGUGAAGGACGCUGCCCUAUGGGUUGUAAACUUCUUUUGUUAGGGAUAAACCUAGAUACGUGUAUCUAGCUGAAGGUACUAUACGAAUAAGCACCGGCUAACUCCGUGCCAGCAGCCGCGGUAAUACGGAGGGUGCAAGCGUUAUCCGGAUUUAUUGGGUUUAAAGGGUCCGUAGGCGGAUCUGUAAGUCAGUGGUGAAAUCUCACAGCUUAACUGUGAAACUGCCAUUGAUACUGCAGGUCUUGAGUGUUGUUGAAGUAGCUGGAAUAAGUAGUGUAGCGGUGA